GGUCAAAUAGGCCGAGCGGGUCGUACGGAACCUGCGCGUGUCGGAAGUGCCCGGUCCUCCAUCAAAGUCAAAGGGCGCAAGGCUGGCGCCCUUGGGCAAAACGCGCUCGAUCGUGUCAUCCUGCUGGGCCGGCCUUUUGUAGACGCCCCAUGCGCCAAAUGUCUUUGUGGUGCGAGCGCGGCCGCAUGUAGGGUGGUAGGCGUGGACUUUGAUCGUGACGGCGCGCGGCUCGACGUCCAGUGCGCCGUCGGGCGACUUUGCGCCCCAAGGCCACGCACCGAGGACUUCGCCCUCGGGGGCACACGACACCGUCACCACCAGCGACGGGUCAUUGUCAUAGUUUGUAAAAUCGAUGGCGGCGGCAAAGACGAGGCCCUGCCACGCGACGGUCGAAGCGCCGCCGGUGCCGUCCAGAUUGUCCACGCCGAUGCGUAGGGCGCGCCAACGAUGCCCGUCCUCGUCGACAACGAGACCGCCCACGACAGUUUCGGGUCUAUAGUAGGCCGCCGGCAUCAAGUCGGAAUGCUCGGCGGCAAUGACAUCGCGGUCCGCCUCAGCGAGCACACCCACUGUGCGCUCUGCGAGCGCGACCUUGAGUUUGUGGUCGAUGUCGCUCCCGAGCAGAUGGCGCACAAAGGCGCCGAGUUGGGCGAGCGGGUCUGACCCGCGACCCUUGGCGACGCAGUCAAAGAGCCGGACGAGAGCGGCUUCGACAAGGCCCUCUGUGUAGUGGGCGGGCAUUCCCAAAAAGAGCGACGCCUGGACGACGUCGACGGGGUCAUCGCACCUGUCAAUGCCGCCGAGACGAUGCGGCGCGUACAUGCACUCGACGAGAAAGGCCAGGCUAUCGGCCGCAAAGGGGACGUCGAUCGUAUAAACCGCAAAGAGGACGCGCUUGCCGUCGGGGCUCUUUUGUUCGACGCGGUCCGGGUCGGCAUGCUCGAAAAGUGCAGCGAAAUAGGUUGCGCCAGCCAACACCGCCCGAUGGGCCUCGAUGCGUACAGGUUCACUGCCCGACGUCGAUGACCGCAGUUGAAUAGCGCAGUCGCAAUAAACACGACGCAGGCUUCCUAGCGUCGCAGGCUGGUGCACAUCGUGAUAGUGCACGGCGUCGUCAAAGCCAUCGUCG
rnacentral:lncRNA from 1 species